rnacentral:rRNA from 1 species
GUGUCAGCCGCCGCGGUAAUACGUAGGCAGCAAACGUUGUUCGGAAUUACUGGGCGUAAAGAGUGUGUAGGCGGUUCCGUAAGUUUGGUGUGAAAUCUCCCGGCUUAACUGGGAGGGUGCGCCGAAAACUGCGGGGCUUGAGUGCUGGAGAGGAGAGCGGAAUUCCUGGUGUAGCGGUGAAAUGCGUAGAUAUCAGGAGGAACACCGGUGGUGUAGACGGCUCUCUGGACAGCAACUGACGCUGAGACACGAAAGCGUGGGGAGCAAACAGGAUUAGAUACCCCCGUAGUCC